GGGGAUGCAGCUCAGCCGGUAGAGUGUUUGUUUAGCAUGCACAAAGCCCUGGGUUCCAUCCCAGCAACGCCC
rnacentral:tRNA from 1 species